rnacentral:rRNA from 1 species
AGUGAACGCUGGCGGUAGGCCUAACACAUGCAAGUCGAACGGCAGCACAGUAAGAGCUUGCUCUUACGGGUGGCGAGUGGCGGACGGGUGAGGAAUACAUCGGAAUCUACUUUUUCGUGGGGGAUAACGUAGGGAAACUUACGCUAAUACCGCAUACGACCUACGGGUGAAAGCAGGGGAUCUUCGGACCUUGCGCGAUUGAAUGAGCCGAUGUCGGAUUAGCUAGUUGGCGGGGUAAAGGCCCACCAAGGCGACGAUCCGUAGCUGGUCUGAGAGGAUGAUCAGCCACACUGGAACGUAGACACGGUCCAGACGCCUAAGGGAGGCAGCAGUGGGGAAUAUUGGGCAAUGGGCGCAAGCCUUAUCCAGCCAUACCGCGUGGGUGAAGAAGGCCUUCGGGUUGUAAAGCCCUUUUGUUGGGAAAGAAAAGCAGCAGGUUAAUACCACGCUGUUCUGACGGUACCCAAAGAAUAAGCACCGGCUAACUUCGUG